rnacentral:rRNA from 1 species
AUUGAACGCUGGCGGCAGGCCUAACACAUGCAAGUCGAGCGGACGAAGGGAGCUUGCUCCUGGAUUCAGCGGCGGACGGGUGAGUAAUGCCUAGGAAUCUGCCUGGUAGUGGGGGAUAACGUCCGGAAACGGGCGCUAAUACCGCCUACGUCCUGAGGGCGACAGUGGUGGAUCUUCGGCCCUCCCGCUCUCCGAUGCGCCUAGGUCGGAUUAGCUAGUUGGUGGGGUAAAGGCCUACCAAGGCGACGAUCCGUAACUGGUCUGAGAGGAUGAUCAGUCACACUGGAACUGAGACACGGUCCAGACUCCUACGGGAGGCAGCAGUGGGGAAGAUUGGACAAUGGGCGAAAGCAUGAUCCAGCCAUGCCGCGUGUGUGAAGAAGGGCUUCGGAUUGUAAAGCACUUUAAGUUGGGAGGAAGGGAAGUAAGUUAAUACCUUGCUGGUUUGACGUUACCAACAGAAUAAGCACCGGCUAACUUCGUG